UCCUAAAUUUCUUUACUUUCUUGCAUUCUUGCAUCUUAUUGCUACACUUUGCUUAAAUCACUCACUACAUAUAACUUGCUUAAUAUUACUUAAUCCUCGUGGUUCUAAAUUAACUUUAAAAUUUUAAAAAUCCAAUUCACCCUUCCUCUUGGGUUGCAUGGCUGGACAACAUUUGAUCUUAAUCUUUUCUAGUCUGAUAGUUGCAGAAUGUGUUCUUCAGGUCGCUCGCAGCCACACGGACUCGUAUGGCCUCUACAGGAAGAUCCACGUGAAGACAGACGUAGAUCAGGGACUUGGAGGUGCUAGCCUGCAAGCAACUUCGACAGUUGAUUUGUUCCUC
rnacentral:lncRNA from 1 species